AGCCAGACUCCUACGGGAGGCAGCAGUGGGGGAUAUUGCACAAUGGGGGGAACCCUGAUGCAGCGACGCCGCGUGGGUGAAGGAGUACUUCAGUACGUAAAGCCCUAUCAGCAGGAAAGAAAAUGACGGUACCUGACUAAGAAGCCCCGGCUAACUACGUGCCAGCAGCCGCGGUAAUACGUAGGGGGCAAGCGUUAUCCGGAUUUACUGGGUGUAAAGGGAGCGUAGACGGCAGUGCAAGUCCGGAGUGAAAGCCCGGGGCUCAACCCUGGGACUGCUCUGGAAGCUGUAAAGCUGGAGUGCGGGAGGGGCAGGCGGAAUUCCUGGUGUAGCGGUGAAAUGCGUAGAUAUCAGGAGGAACACCGGCGGCGAAGGCGGCCUGCUGGACCGUAACUGACGUUGAGGCUCGAAAGCGUGGGAAGCAAACAGGAUUAGAUACCCCGGUACC
rnacentral:rRNA from 1 species